rnacentral:rRNA from 1 species
UUCAGAGGUCUCAAGCGUUGUUCGGAUUCAUUGGGCGUAAAGGGUGCGCAGGCGGCGCGGUAAGUCGGGUGUGAAAUCUCGGAGCUUAACUCCGAAACUGCAUUCGAUACUGCCGUGCUUGAGGACUGGAGAGGAGACUGGAAUUUACGGUGUAGCGGUGAAAUGCGUAGAUAUCGUAAGGAAGACCAGUGGCGAAGGCGGGUCUCUGGACAGUUCCUGACGCUGAGGCACGAAGGCCAGGGGAGCAAACGGG